UCCGAGUAAAUGAUGUUUGGGCUUUCCUGAUUUCGGGGACUUCUGCCUGGUUGUUGUUGCCAUGAACACGUCUCAGGUUAACUGCAGUUUAUUUACAGUGUGCGAUGAUCAGACCUUACACGGCGGUGACGAUCCCAGGCUCCCACACAGACACGCGUGGCUCUCCGACAGUUUCCGAAAACUAGAAGGCAAGAAUCUAGGUUUCAAGCAUGCAUUUCCAUGCUGUGGGAAUGAUUUGAUGCUUGGUGCUUUCAGGAGCUUUCAAGAUAAUGUGUUAUUCUGACGAAUGGAAGUCUGCAAAGUGCAGCACAUGUGAGAUCAUGUCUUCAGAGUUCCAGAGGACAGCUAAAGAUCAACACUUGGAAUCAACUCCAGAUCUUCAAUCUGCUUGAUUUGUCUUAAAAUAAUGUGGAAGUGCAGAUGGCUGCCACUCCCUGAGCCUGGCUCUGCUGGAGGUUGUUUGCUGUUAAAAGGGUUUUUGAAGAACAGGACCAGGUCUGGCACCACUCACAGCUGAGUCUUCAACUUUUGGGACAUGAAAACAGCAACAAAUUGUCAAUAAAAACGAGUCUUUGCCAUCUUAUUACAGCAGCUAUUGGUUUGCAGCUGAAUUGAUUAAGUUUGUCAAAAUGUGACAAUAAACUGUGAUAAACAA
ensembl:lncRNA